GCUGCCAGCCACCAGUGCUCCAGGUAGCACGAACUUUCUUCAGCAUGGAAAGUGCAAAUGACGUGUGUGAAAUCCUCCCGGCGCCAAACAAAGAUUUCCCUGGCAGUCUGUCCACAUAACAAAGCCCUAUAGCAGAGACAUCCAAAGGAGAGGAGAAGGAUAGUGGUUAGUGGAGCAUCGAUGAGGAUUCAUCAAAGAACCAUAGUUACCACACAGGAUCUAUAGCAUGCUGUUUCCUAACCCUCCCAGACAAGACAGUCAUGUUUUGACAAAGAUUAAGCUUUGUUGUUGUUGUAGUCCCAGACCUGAAGAGCUCCGUGUAAGCUUGUCUCUCUC